GCACGGACCCGGAGCCACAGAUGAGAGAGUAGACAUACGGUUGUUGGGCACCGGCGUAGUAUAAACUCAUCAGCAGUAGUACGUAGUGCCUAGAGAUGGCAAUGGGGCCCAUUCACCGUUUCCACGCGGUGAAUUCACCUAUUAGGUGACGGGGAUAAUUAAUAUCUAUUCACCAAGGGGAAUAAAAUGGUUAAAAACCUCUCACCAUCGGGGAUGACAGGCCCCUAACCCGACUGACUGUACUGUACCAUGGCUUUUUAGAUGUUUUGGUCCAUAAUACUAAAGCCCAUUUAACAGGCAUAUCUAUAUCUAUAUUAAUAUAAAAAGGAGGAGUUGCCCCCCUCCAAUGCUACUGGCCAAAUCAUUCGGAUUAAUCUGAACCAUCCAUCCGCGCGCAACUUAUUUCCACCAUACGAUUUCGCACCCGAGGAUUGCACACCGAUUGGCCGAAGACAUCGCUCAUCCGUCCUCAUCCACCCGCUACUGCGAAGACAUCGCUCCUCGACUCCUCCUCACUCGCUCCUCUUACUCCCCGCUGCCACCGCUCCUCCGCGGCCACGCCGGAGCCACUGCCGGGUCCUUCUUCUUCCCCACCGCCGGGUCCUGCUUCUUCCCCAUCCCCACCGACGCGGCCGGCCUCUUCGCUCGCGCCUCCUCCUCCCCGCUGCCGCCGCUCCGCCGCAUCCUAGACGGAGCUCUGCCGGAGCUCCGCCGGACUCUUACUCGGAGCCGCCGCCGGAGCAGGCCUCGGCCCCUCAUCAAGUAAGUUCCUUAAAUCCUGUCUCUUUCCCUAAUCCCUAAUCUUCUCCGUACGAACACGAUCUGAAAACAAGUGACCAUAAGUUUCCUUUUUUGUUGAAGUUUGAUAUGUUUCUAUGCGCUCAGACCUCAAUCGCGAUCUCCCUCGCUCAAUGCAAAGCAUCGGACUUCAGCGAUCAACGCUUGAUUGCCAAAUGGUCUGAUCCGGCCGCUCCGCUGCCAAGGCCACCACCCCGAGAUCGCGUGGAUCUGGCUGCUCCGCCGCCGAGGCCUUCAACCCUGAGCCCUUCUGCCAUGAGUCCGCAGCAGGCUCCAUUGUUGUGUUCACCGCCCGGGCCCCUCACCGCCAGAUCGCAGUCCACUCCACCGUGUAGUCGCUGCACUGUGCCCCUUCGCAGCUUUGCUGCCGAGGCCAACGCCCAGGUUGCUAGACCACCACCUUCUUCAACACCAUAUUGUGGCCCUUGACUUCUGCCUGAUUGCCGUCACAUAGACGUUCAUCAACCCUAGGUGGCCAUGGUACCACGAUGCUGCGGUGACUGCUGAUACGAUUCCUGUUAUGUCAUGUUUGAUGCUGAAUCACGAGGAUUCUCCAAGAGUUGGAAGCUAUCAAACAGCACCAGGCAGUCAAGUUGUACAGAUGGUGAAAAGUAUGGAGAAGCUGCAGUCAAGUUGCUUGCUGCUACAUUAGGAGUAACAAGUGAUUUUUCAUCUGAAGACCAAUCCAGAAAUAUUGGGACAAUCUGACUGAAUAACUGCUAAUUAUAACCAAUGUUUUGCUCUAAGUGUUAUUGGAUGUUUUCAUUACUGGUACAGGUUGUUUAUAUAAUCUAUGAUCAAUGGGUGCUUGCUGAUAAAAGAAUGCAUAUAAAUAACAAUUGGUGGAGGCGGAUAAGGAGGCUGGUCAAGUCAGCCUCCUGCAAUUACUAGUGAACAUGCACGUGCAAGGCACGUUUUCGUAAUAUAUAUUAUUGCAAAUAAAAACAUAUUAAAUUGCCAGUUUAUUUCCACUCUCCAUUGAAUGAUAGUUACAAAAUAACUUUCCCUUCUUAAAGAAAAUGUUAUUAUAGAACAAUGCCAUCGCCUUAGCAAUCAGCAAGCAGCAAAUUAGUAUCUCCAUGACCCUAUUGCCAACAUGUGAGACCCCUAGUUAGAUUUGUGAACUAAAAACACCUCAUUACUGUAACAACAGGAAUGUAUCUCUCAUGGCAACAUAAUCUCUAGUACUAACAAAUAGAACAUACAAAGAUUAAAUCUAUUAACCAUUUGAUCAAACUGGAUGAUGUAGGAUUUCUUUCAUAAACAUCACAAGGAAAAUAAAAUUGGAUUUGAUCCUUAUGGGCUUUCACCUUGUCAAAUAGCAGUGUGCAUUAAAAGUAUCUUAUUGUUGCUGCUAGCAAAUCCUGAUGCACACUCCAUUUCUUGAGAAUGUCAGAAAUAUAUGCAACUUGAUUUACUAAACAAGCAAAUAAUUAUGGGUUUGCACCUUGUCAAAUUCAAUAUCUCUUCAUCAGCUUUGUAACUCAGCAAAUAAAAUCAGAAAGUGUAGUUCUUACCAAACAUUCCCUUUUAAGAAAAUAAUCGACUUGGCUUUUAUGAACCCUCGAAUAAAUUACCAGAGACUUGAAUUUUAAUUUAAGAUAUAUAACCAGAGCCCAGAGGCAACUUUUCUCAACCAUGUGAAUAAUAAUUCUCAGUCCAGGUUAAGGACCAGAUGAAUAAUAGGUUGGGGGUUUGUUGAAAUUUUGUAUAGGUGAGAAGGCAUAUUAGAAUAGAGCUUUAGACAUAUUCCCAAGUCCCAACAUUCAAUUAAGUGAGUGUGCAGAGAGAAGUUCACAGGAAACAUAAGACGCAGACUACUUAGUAGUGCUAUGAGUCAAUGAUAAAUUACUUUACUAAGAAUAUAAUAUUGACAUAAUCAAACUUAUAUCAGUUUAAAGGCAUCAACUUUCCAGGUAAUCAAUGAGCAUCAAGAAUACCUUAACAACAGGAUGUUAUACACCUGUACUAAUCUGGAGUAGUAUGGUCAAUAUGCCUAAAAAUGAUCCAAUGAGCAUACUAAAAUUAUACUAUUUUUUUUGCUUCAAGCAAGACCAGUGAAAAAAAAAGUCAGUGCAGACAUGUAAAUGAACAUAUCUAGAGGUGCAGUGUGGAGGCGGAUGAUGGCGGACUUGAGGUGCGGAGGAACUAUUAUUAGGAGAUACUAAAUCAAGUUAUAACAUAUAUACUCAGAAUACGAUAGAACCUUACGAACAUUUUGUUGAGCAGUUCAUGAGCAGAAAAAAUGGUUACUUUGAGUAAAAUGUCUUGUACCAGUUUAGUUCAACAAAAGCAGCAAGCUAAGAUUUCCCAGCAAACUCACGUGUAUAGCUAAAAAGAUUUGGAACAAACAUACCUAUAUGGAAUCGAUCAAUCGCUCAAGCUUCAAUGCUUAAAAUAAGCAUUGAGUGUAGGUAAGAGAAUAAGUAGCUAAGAAUUAUAGAGGCUGGAUUUAGAUGAAUCAUAUCUCCGAAGCGCAAAUGCCUGCCAGAUUCCUUAUGAACCACAAGGUAACCAAUACAAAAGCAAACUGGAAAAAAUAUAGCGAAACAUAAAAUUGGGGCUAAAGUGCUGCACUGUCAGUGUCUAUUGCUAUUCCAUAUGGCAUCCUGCAGGUAUUGAACAAAUUGGGCAAUUUCUCAAACUUGGGAAGCACACAUAAGAGAGCAGAUUAAUAUGCUUUUUAGUGCAUGUACAAUUCAUACAUCAGAAGUUAAACACCACUAUAUUUAUCAAUGUAUUCUUGAGAAGUUAAAUACCAUUUCUUUUGUAUGGAAUCCCAACUUCGCCUAAGCAUUUGCAGCUAGAAGUGCUCAUCUCAUCCCUUUCUUAUGUGGUCUUUCUCAAAAAAAAAAAGAAGAAGAAAAACUCACCAGAGAUGGUUGCAGUAGCGAUUAACUCUAUGAACUCAUGUCAUAUCUUACCAGCAAGCUCAUUUUGCCACAUCAUUCCUCAGAGCUCCCUUUGGUGCGUCUGCUUGUUGCCCUCCAAAUCUUGUGGCUAGAGGUGCUGCCAUCCCAAGUAGGUUGCCUCCUCUUGCAUGCAAAGAAUUUUUUUUUAAAAAAGGGUCUAUUAAGAACUCGUUGACCAAAGAGUAAUGCAUAUAAAAAAAAUCUAUAUUUUAAUUAUACUGAUAGCACUCAUUGUGCCACCAGUUAAAGAACACAGAAAGUAAGUGGGAGAAUCUCUAAAUCUGUGAUGUUGAACUUGAUCAUCACAUAAUUCUCUUAUAUUUAUACUGCCAAUUAGAUUCUCCUUGACUGUCCAAUAGGAUGAGACUGCCUUCCUAAUCCAAAGCACGCCAAUAUACUCGUGAAUUGACAGAGGAGUUAUCUUGGCCGACUCUAUCACUUGCUAUGGUGUCAUUCGAGGGCACCGGCCUCAUUGGGGUGCCCGGACUGGCAGCAGUGGUGUCAGGUGUUAGAGACCUAGGGGCAUGGAAGUGAGGAAUCAUGUGCAUAUAUGUAAAUCGAAAGCAAUAUCAUUUUAAUGACAAUGUGAGAAUAAAAAUAAAAUAAAUAGAAGAUCUAGAUUAUUUGACAAAGUAGAGAUGAUUGUUCUUUCCUUAACAACCUUGUUGUAGGUUGUCUUCAGUAGCGAAUAAUCAUUCCGAAGCUGCAUUGUUUUAAAGCUAAACAUGUUAAGCAGAGACAAUUGAAAAGCAUAAGAAGUCCUAAUGCUUUCAAUUACAAAAAAUAUCGUUGAUCAUGGACUGAACAUACAGGAAGCAAAACACAUUCUAUAAAACCCAAAAAUUGUCGCAAAUGAAAAGGAUAACUGAUUCAAAGACAAAGCAGUAACUCUUUUUGAAAGUUGGGUUGACAUGAAUCUAUAUUGAAGAACUGAUUGCCCAUGGGCGCAUAGUAUUGUCUAAGUGAAGGCCUUUAUAGUUUUACAUUGCCUAGGUGAAGCAGACUCUGAAUUUUAACUAAGUUGCUAAAUUCAAUUUGAUCUCAGGCUACAAAUCGCAAAAACUCUCAUUGACUUUCAGCAUUCAAAUCAUAAAAACUCUAAUUGAUUUCAGCAAUUCGAGUUUUUAAUUGUUUCAAUCAAUCUUUGGAUCUUGAUGGUGCUGAUCAUGGAGGCACAGCUAGCAGACCAUGUCGAGAGAAAUGACAGCUAAAAGAACAAAGUGAAAUGAAGAACGGGCUGCUGCUCACCGAGUCGAGGAGGAUGUUAGAUGCCUUGAAGUUGCUAGAUGACCAGCGGGUGAGUGUAGUGGAGGAAGUCAAGCCCCUUCGCCGUGCCGCGGGCGGUCUGAAUCAUCCUUAUCCAUGGCAUGGGACCAUCGAGACCUGCAGACCAUUACAGCGCAGAUCAGCUUCCCCAAGUCUUUCUAGAAUUGACACAGAGGUGGCGGCAACGAACUGGUGGCUAGGGUGAAGCAAUCAUCAAUUUCUGUUGGUGAACCUUACUGUUUGUGUAGUGCUUUAGCUGAAACCAUCUGAAGGUGGUCAUGAAGUCCUUUCAAAUGAUCGGUGCUCAUUUUGUGAAUUUCAUGAUUGCUUCACAAGCAUGAACAUACACUUUCCCUUCAAUAAUAAUUCUUUUGAGUGACAA